AGUGCCUCCCGGAAACCAUGGUAGGAACUUCCGGCCAGAAGCGAAAACGCUGCAAAAGUUGUGGAGGCCAAAAGUCUUCACAGGCAAGCCAGAAAAGGAGGUUCUCUUCACUGUAUUCUGUUCGGAGGAACUCUCUGAAAAGGUUUCUUCCUGCUGGGGUCUUCAUCAUCUUGUCAAAAUUUUGAGACCAGGACAAGACUUCAUCUGCAGUGGGGUUUUGGCUGCAGAGACAGAACGGGGCCAUUAUCAAGGGAAACUUUGACCUAUGAAUGUUAGCGCAGGUACCACGGUGAGGAUGGACAGAACGUAGCAAAAGGGAAGAAGUUAAGGACGAGGAGCCUGAUGAGCGGCCAAUGUACAACCGCAAGUGAGACUAGAUAGGAUGAUUUCCUUGAGAAUGUGGACUAACUGAAGAAAAGAGGACCCCACAGAAAUUGGAAAGGAGUCUUUACUCAGAAAAAGGACACUUCAUAGAAAAUGUAUGAUUUCAUAGUGAAAUAAGUUCUCCUCCACCCGUUUCCAGGGAUAGCGGCAGGUUUAUUGGUGCAGAACUAUGGAGAGAAAAGUGGUGUGGCCCGAUGUGUUCUGGGAGGGGGGACUGUAGCUGAUUGUUACUGAGACAUGCACGACGCGGACUAGAGCCCUGUGGGGAGGUAGCAUCGCAGGGUUAGAGAAGUCAAAGCUUUCACUGUGGUGUAGCUGUGUGGAGGGAUUCAGAAGGAGCAGCACAAUUUGUUAGGUCUCUGCGUGUAGGUGCUGCAAAUGUGUCCACAGCUCGAGGCAGCCCAGGAAACCUCUGUCCUCUAUGCUGCUCUACACUGAGGUCAGAUAUGAGUUUUAGAGAAGAUCCAUUAAUUUCUCAAAGUAUCCUUGGGUAAGAGUGUUACUCUAAUUUGAUGUAUUUCCAGUAAUUAUGGGAAAGUGGGUGGGUGAGGAAGAUUCACCACUGACCAUACUCUGUGAAAUUCCCUAUAUAUUUACAUAAAAUAUGCAUUUUUUUGCAAAUUCUAGAAAGAUCUUAUUUAAAUAGGAGAUUAACACUCAUACUGCCAAGUCUUAUUGAGCUUGCAUUUCCACACAGUGCCCCAUAGAGUAUGCCAUACAAAAUGCAAGUAUACCUCAUUUCAUUCAACAUCUUUGAAAAAUUUGUUUCCCAUGUGCCUUUAUUGUAGAGCAACAAAUUUGGAAUCCACAGGCAUGAUUCACAAGUUUCUGAACAUGAAUUCUGGCUCUUAUAUCUGUUUCUGUGAUGUUUACAAACAUUCCAAAUGCUACCAUAUUAGAGCAUUCAUUAUGAAAUAUUGGGUUGUGUUUACAUCUUUCAUUUCUACAGAUGGUAAAAUAUGGACACACAUUUGGACUAAAACUACUUAUAACAGACAUUCAGUAAAUGCUUAGUUUAGUUCACCACUUGUGCGAUCUCUUGAUUUAAUAUUGAACGUAAUCUUGUUCUGUAGAAAGAAAUUGAACUUUAGCAAUGGACACAUUGUCCUUUUAAUUACUGUCCUUUAUUAAUAUUCUUAAAAAAUGGGUUUCAAGGUUUUGAUUAUCAAGAACCACUGAAAAUGCCAUUUUAAGAUGAAGAGAAAUAGUGAAAAUAGAUGUGAAAUUGAUACCAGACUGUUUGCUUCUCUUGAUACUAAUGUCUGUCUCCAAUUUCACUUGGUCCUGCUCUAAGUAAUAUAGCUUUUUAAAAAGAUAAUAAAUUACUGGAAAUAUUUGCUCUAGAUUAGUAUAUACAUGUUAUAUGUACUUGACAUGUAAUAUGUACUUUUUGACUUAGAGAAGUCAAAGCCUUCAGUGUAGAUAAGCCCUAAAAGAAAAACAUCAAACAUAACAGUUGUGAGGAGUCACACAGAGACACGUGCUUUUCACUUUUUACAUAACAUUUUAAACUAACAUUUCUACUUUUUAAAUGAUUAAA